rnacentral:rRNA from 1 species
GACGAACGCUGGCGGCGUGCCUAACACAUGCAAGUCAACUUGACUGAAGGAGCAAUCUGACAGUAGAGUGGCGCAAGGGUGCGUAACGCGUAAGUAACUUGCCCAAGGGAAGGAAUAACGUCGAGAAAUCGGCGCUAAUACCUCAUAAUGCAGCGGAUCCGCAUGGAUAUGUUGUUAAAGGUUUACCGCCUUGGGAUAGGCUUGCGUCUGAUUAGCUAGUUGGUGUGGUAACGGCACACCAAGGCUACGAUCAGUAACUGGUCUGAGAGGAUGAUCAGUCACACUGGAACUGAGACACGGUCCAGACUCCUACGGGAGGCAGCAGUGAGGAAUAUUGGGCAAUGCUCGAAAGAGUGACCCAGCAACGCCGCGUGGAGGAUGAAGGUAUUCUAUAUCGUAAACUACCUGUGAGAGCAGACGAAAGAACAGAUUAUUAAUACUGGAUGACUGUAUGCUCAGAGGAAGA